GGAGUAGACCAGAUGAUCGCUGGCCCGGACUUCCGGGCGGGAGGAAAGUCCGAGCUCCACAGGGCAGGAUGGUCGCUAACGGCGACUGGGGGUGACCCUAAGGAAAGUGCCACAGAAAAUAUACCGCCUGCCAAUGGCAGGUAAGGGUGAAAUGGCGAGGUAAGAGCUCACCAGUUUCCCGGGUGACCGGGAAAGCUUGGUAAACCCCAUCCGGAGCAAGACCAAAUAGGAGAACACUAAGAGCGGCCCGCUCGACGUUCUCGGGUAGUGUCGCUUGAGGCAACAGGCAACUGUUGUCCCAGAUGAAUGAUCAUCACCGCUUUUCGGGUGACUGGAAGGCGGUACAGAACUCGGCUUAUGGUCUGGUCCGACA
rnacentral:RNase_P_RNA from 1 species